UGGAGAGCUUUCUGUGAAGCCAGGCCGUGAGGCAACUGGUGGAGAGAUCAGAAGCGAGAAUGUUGACAUGAGUAGCGACAAACAGGGUGAGAGACCCUGUCGCCGUAAGUCCAAGGGUUCCUGCUUAAAGCUAAUCUGAGCAGAGUAAGCCGGCCCCUAAGGCGAGGCCGAAAGGCGUAGUCGAUGGGAACCAGGUUAAUAUUCCUGGGCCAGGAGGAAGUGACGGAUCUCAAAGAUUGUCUGCCCUUAUCGGAUUGGGUGGGCCGUUCAGAGGUCCCUGGAAAUAGCCCUCCAUCAGACCGUACCCUAAACCGACACAGGUGGACUGGUAGAGUAUACCAAGGCGCUUGAGAGAACCACGUUAAAGGAACUCGGCAAAAUGCCUCCGUAAGUUCGCGAGAAGGAGGCCCCGUUUGUAGGCAACUAUAGGCGGGGGGCACAAACUAGGGGGUGGCGACUGUUUACUUAAAACACAGGGCUCUGCGAAGCCGUAAGGCGACGUAUAGGGUCUGACGCCUGCCCGGUGCUGGAAGGUUAAAAGGAGGGGUGCAAGCUCUGAAUUGAAGCCCCAGUAAACGGCGGCCGUAACUAUAACGGUCCUAAGGUAAAAAUUCCUUGUCGGGUAAGUUCCGACCUGCACGAAUGGCGUAACGAUCUCCCCGCUGUCUCUAACGUGGACUCAGCGAAAUUGAACUGUGUGUCAAGAUGCACACUACCCGCGGUUAGACGGAAAGACCCCAUGAACCUUUACUCCAGCUUUGCACUGGCAUCAGGAUUGCGAUGUGCAGUAUAGGUGGUAGCCUUUGAAGCGGGGACGCUAGUUCCCGUGGAGGCUCCCUUGAGAUACCACCCUUCGCACUCUUGAUGUCUAACCGCGGCCCGUUAUCCGGGUCCGGGACCCUGCAUGGUGGGGAGUUUGACUGGGGCGGUCGCCUCCCAAACAGUAACGGAGGCGCGCGAAGGUAGGCUCAGACCGGUCGGAAAUCGGUCGUUGAGUGCAAUGGCAGAAGCCUGCCUGACUGCAAGACUGACAAGUCGAGCAGAGACGAAAGUCGGUCAUAGUGAUCCGGUGGUCCCAAGUGGGAGGGCCAUCGCUCAACGGAUAAAAGGUACUCUGGGGAUAACAGGCUGAUGAUGCCCAAGAGUCCAUAUCGACGGCGUCGUUUGGCACCUCGAUGUCGGCUCAUCUCAUCCUGGGGCUGGAGCAGGUCCCAAGGGUAUGGCUGUUCGCCAUUUAAAGAGGUACGUGAGCUGGGUUUAGAACGUCGUGAGACAGUUCGGUCCCUAUCUGCCGUGGGUGUAGGAGACUUGAGAAGAGUUGCCCCUAGUACGAGAGGACCGGGGUGAACGAACCACUGGUGGACCAGUUAUCGUGCCAACGGUAGUGCUGGGUAGCUAUGUUCGGACAGGAUAACCGCUGAAGGCAUCUAAGCGGGAAGCCCCCUUCAAAACAAGGUCUCCCUUGAGGGCCGUGGAAGACCACCACGUCGAUAGGCCGGAGGUGUAAGUGCAGCAAUGCAUUCAGCUGACCGGUACUAAUUGCCCGA
rnacentral:rRNA from 1 species